rnacentral:rRNA from 1 species
CGGACGGGUGAGUAACGCGUGAGAAUCUGCCUUCAGGUCUGGGACAACCACUGGAGACGGUGGCUAAUACCGGAUGUGCCGCAAGGUGAAAGGUUAACUGCCUGAAGAUGAGCUCGCGUCUGAUUAGCUAGUAGGUAGUGUAAAGGACUACCUAGGCGACGAUCAGUAGCUGGUCUGAGAGGACGAUCAGCCACACUGGGACUGAGACACGGCCCAGACUCCUACGGGAGGCAGCAGUGGGGAAUUUUCCGCAAUGGGCGAAAGCCUGACGGAGCAAUACCGCGUGAGGGAGGAAGGCUCUUGGGUCGUAAACCUCUUUUCUCAGGGAAGAACAAAAUGACGGUACCUGAGGAAUAAGCAUCGGCUAACUCCGUGCCAGCAGCCGCGGUAAUACGGAGGAUGCAAGCGUUAUCCGGAAUGAUUGGGCGUAAAGCGUCCGCAGGUGGCUAUGUAAGUCUGCUGUUAAAGAGUCUAGCUCAACUAGAUAAGAGCAGUGGAAACUACAUGGCUAGAGUGCGUUCGGGGCAGAGGGAAUUCCUGGUGUAGCGGUGAAAUGCGUAGAGAUCAGGAAGAACACCGGUGGCGAAGGCGCUCUGCUAGGCCGCAACUGACACUGAGGGACGAAAGCUAGGGGAGCGAAUGGGAUUAGAUACCCCAGUAGUC